GGCUCUGUAGUGUAGUGAUAAGCACGUCUGCUUUACACACAGAAGGUCCUGGGUUCGUGCCCCAGGUGAAGCCA
rnacentral:tRNA from 1 species